AUAAAACCGGCCAUUUUGGUGUGUCAGUCUUUUCCUCACUUAGACUGGAGGGUCUGCACGUGGCCUGGUUACGAGGCUGUCAGAGAACCCACAAGGUGACAAGGCUAAGUCGAUACCAAACUACAAGAUCUUGGCCCUCCACAGAAGAUGUGGCGACUGCAGUCUGUUAACCUCUCUGGGAUAAUAGGGACGGUAGCAUCCCACCUCGCCAACAGCCAGUGAAAUUGCAGGGUGCCAUUCAAAACUGAAAUCCCAUAAUAUUCCUCAAACAUACAAGUAUUUUAUACAAUUUUAAAGAUAAACUUCCUUGUAAAUCUAGCCACAGUGUCCGAUUUCAUAUGGGCUUUACGGCAAAAGCACACCAAACGAUUAUGUUAGGUCAGCACCUAGCCACAGAAAACCAUGAAGCCAUUUUCCAGCCAUGGAGAGCCCUCAGUCAGAAAUAGCAAUUAAAUAAACCUUUGAUCUUCAUCAGGUGGCACUCCCAGGACUCCCAUGUUACACAAAUGUUUGUUUGAUAAAUUUCAUCUUUCUGUCCAAAAACCUCAUUUGAAAUUGGUCUUUUAUGUUCAGAAAUGCAUUGUCUCAAACAAACAUCUGGUGAAAGUGCAGAGAGCCACAUCAAAUUACAGAAAUAGUAAAAAAUAAACAUUGAUAAAAAAUAUACAAGUGUUAUGCAUGGAAAUAUAGAAACUUCUCAAUGCAACUGUCAGAAUUCAAAAAGGCUUUACGGCAAAAGCCCACCGAUUAUUUUAGGUUAGCACCUAGCCACAGAAAAACAUACAGCCAUUUUCCAAAGGAGGCGUCACAAGUCAGAAAUAGUAUUAUGAAUAUUCACUUACCUUUGAUCUUCACCAGAAUGCACUCCCAGGAAUCCCAGUUCAACAUGUUUGUUUUGUUCGAUAAAGUCCAUUUACGUCCAAAUACCUCUUUGUUUGUGCGUUUAGUUCACAAAUCCAAACUCACGAGGCGCAGGAUGGUCCAGGCGAAAGUUCAGAAAAAAAUCUAUAACAGGUCGUAGAAAUAUGCCAAACGAUGUAUAGAAUCAAUCUUUACGGUGAUUUUAUCAUAAAUAUUCAAUAGUGUUUCAACCGGACAAUUCCUUUGUCUUUAGAAAUGCAAUAGAAUGCAGCUAACUCUCUCGGGCAUGAGCGAGACUGAGCUCAUGGCACUCUGCUGGACCACCUGGCUCAAACAGCUCUCAUUAUCUCCCCCUUCGCAGUAGAAGCCUCAAACAAGUUUCUAAAGACUGUUGACAUCUAGUGGAAGCUUUAGGAAGUGCAAUAGGACCCCAUAGACACUGUAUAUUCGAUAGGCAAUGACUUGAAACACUACAAACUUCAGAUUUCCCACUUCCUGGUUGGAUUUUCCCCUCUUUUUUGCCUGCCCUACGAGUUCUGUUAUACUCACAGACGUCAUUCAAACAGUUUUAGAAACAUCGGAGUGUUUUCUAUUCAAAUCUACAAAUUAUAUGCAUAAUCUAGUUUUUGAGCCGGAGUAGCAGGCAGUUCACUCUGGGCACCUUAUUAUCCAAGCUACUAAGAAGUUAAACAUGGGGUGAGAUCAUUAAUGGAUUAUUUAGGGUCCUGUGUUUUGCACGAGGCACUUUUACCUGUAUUUCCAGAAUUAUCCAGCUGGUGUCACUUCAGUCCCUUUAAAAAAAUAUUUUUUAUCAACCAGCUCACCAAUUUAUCAAAGCAGUAAGGAUUAUUUCCCCAACAUGACCAAGAUUGUGAAACAAUAUCCCUUUUGCUAAUAAUUCUGUAGAUUUGGGAAGAAUUGUUAAUACCAGGGCUGACUCAGCAAUGGAAAUGUGCUGACUUAAGUGAGAUUUUUUAUUUAUGUUCCUGAUUAUGUAAGGCUGAAACAUUAAAAUAUUUUAAUCAGA